AACGCACCUUGCGCUCCUUGGUAUUCCGAGGAGCAUGCCUGUUUGAGUGUCUUGAAGUCAUCAACCUCUCCCGUUUUGCGACGGGUCCAGGUUGGAGCCUGGGGGCUUGCGGCCGCGAGGCUGCUCCCCUCAAAUGCAUCGGUUGGGCCUGCGGGUCGGACUCGGUUGGGCGUUGUACCAUCCUCGCUCUUAUUCCGAGAUGUUCCCCUAUUAAUGUGCCCUCCCACGACCGCCCCAUCUGGAGUCGGCGGUCAAAGCUUUUGAAGCACUUUGAAAUCUGACCUCAAAUCAGGUAGGACUACCCGCUGAACUUAA
rnacentral:misc_RNA from 3 species